GUUUGUAUUACGUGAAAUUGUAGUCGUUACACUUUAACAUAGGAUAUUUUUAGUUCUUCAGCUAUAAAAUUGCGUUUCAUUUUGGCGUCUGAUUGUGGAUAAUGGAUUUUUUCCCUAUUGUUUCUUUAUAAUGGCUAGUGUUUAUUAGGUGUUUCUCUAGUUGCUAAUGAUUGUUGAAUUCUAUGGCGACGGGGAAUUUAGUUGGAAUGC
rnacentral:misc_RNA from 1 species